CUGAGUCACGUGCUCAAACAACCCUUCUGUGGACCUGAAAUAAAACCGUUGCCUCGGCGGGCGGUCCCCCCAACCAAACCCCACGUGGUGGGUUAGGGGACCAGACAGUCCGGUACGCUUAAGGCGUCCGGCGCCAGCCGCUGGCCCAAAACAAUUAAACUCUAGUAACCUUUACCUUCUGAGUUUCAAUAUUUAAAAAUAAGUCA
rnacentral:misc_RNA from 1 species